rnacentral:rRNA from 2 species
AUGAUUUUGGAUCCGACUGAGUGGCGAACUGGUGAGUAACACGUGGGUAACCUGCCCAGAAGAAGGGGAUAACACCUGGAAACAGAUGCUAAUACCGUAUAACAACAAGAACCACAUGGUUCUUGUUUGAAAGCUGGCCUUUGUGCUAGUGCUUCUGGAUGGACCCGCGGCGUAUUAGCUAGUUGGUGAGAUAAUAGCUCACCAAGGCAAUGAUACGUAGCAGACCUGAGAGGGUAAUCUGCCACAAUGGGACUGAGACACGGCCCAUACUCCUACGGGAGGCAGCAGUAGGGAAUCUUCCACAAUGGACGAAAGUCUGAUGGAGCAACGCCGCGUGAGUGAAGAAGGGUUUCGGCUCGUAAAACUCUGUUGUUAGAGAAGAACAGCCGUGAGAGCAACUGCUCACGGUAUGACGGUAUCUAACCAGAAAGUCACGGCUAACUACGUGCCAGCAGCCGCGGUAAUACGUAGGUGGCAAACGUUGUCCGGAUUUAUUGGGCGUAAAGGGAGCGCAGGCGGUUUAUUAAGUCUGAUGUGAAAGCCUUCGGCUUAACCGGAGAAGUGCAUCGGAAACUGAUAAACUUGAGUGCAGAAAAGGAUAGUGGAACUUCAUGUGUAGCGGUGAAAUGCGUAGAUAUAUGAAGGAACACCAGUGGCGAAGGCGGCUAUCUGGUCUGUAACUGACGCUGAGGCUCGAAAGCAUGGGUAGCAAACAGGAUUAGAUACCCUGGUAGUCCAUGCCGUAACGAUGAAUGCUAGGUGUUGGAAGGUUUCCGCCUUUCAGUGCCGCAGCUAACGCAUUAAGCAUUCCGCCUGGGGAGUACGACCGCAGGUUGAACUCAAGGAAUUGACGGGACCCGCACAAGCGGUGGAGCAUGUGGUUUAAUUCGAUGCUACGCGAGAACCUUACCAGGACUUGACAUCUUCUGCCAAUCUAGAGAUAGA